AAAACUUCUCACCAAAGAAUUCAGUCUCACCCUUAUCUGACAUUACGUCAUAUGAGGGAAAACAGCUAGAUGAAUUAACAAGUCGAGAUGAAGUAUCAGCAAAACUACCAAGCAGGUCAUUUUCUUCAUCAGUUCUCCACAUAAACCCAGAUACAACAUUUUCACUAGUUUGGGUAUGACUGCUAGAACCAAUCACUGAUUCAUUCCUCCUAGGAUUUAAGUCCUGCAACCUGGGCUCCUCUUGAACUUUGCCUGUCAAAAUCCUAUUCGAAUUAUUUUCAGCACUCCAAACUUGCUCACUGCUAGAAAGACAAAGUAAGCUGUCUAUAGAAGCCCUUUUCUUCUCAUCCAGAUUGCAACUGUAAACACCAUUUAAAUUAUCUUCCAUAGAAAAUUUCUCCUGAUUCCCAGAAUUAACAAGGGUAAAAUCCUUUGAACAGCUUUCUAGCAUCGUGCUUUUCACAACAUCCACAUCCUGUUCACUGUGACCAUGGUCA
rnacentral:misc_RNA from 1 species